rnacentral:misc_RNA from 1 species
CCGACACCGUGUGUGGGGCACUUUUGACAAAGAAACCGUACGAGCUAUUGCUGCAUUUAGGGUUCCUACCAGAAUAUAUACACUUAAAGUGGAAAGCAAGGUGUGCUAACGUGUCAGCCCGAGGAAUUCAUGAUGCAGAUUGCAGACAUACAAGUGUUGAGUUCAAAUUGAGCAGAUCCAAUUUCGGUCAAACUGAAUGAUGAGUCUCUCUCUUCCAACGGGGACAAAAGUUCAAUGAUAUGAGCACAUCAUCAGCUUCAUCUCGUGCAAUUCCGCAUCAGAGAGACUUGAGUUCCAAACAGUGAGGCAAUUUAAUUCAUCAUUUUCUCAUCAUCCUCCCCAACACCUCUCAUCAUCGGCCGGCUGAUAGGAUGAGAAACCAUCUCACCUGAACUUCCGUCGAUCCGUUCAUCGGGGGCCACUAUGACUAAUGACUUGGGAGAGGUUACAAGUUUCCGUACGUGGUUAUCAAUUUCAGAUUAAGUUCCAGCCCCAACUUUCCUCGGCACAACCCGAUAAGCCAUAGAAGAAAGAAGAUGUUUCCUGGUGAUGCCUCCUGGUACAGAAGUGCACUCUGCUUGAGUUGCCAGACACUGAGUGGUAGCCUCAACCCCUCCCUCACCUGUGAGAGGCCACACCCCUUCAGAGGUCUUCCAUCUUCAGGAAACGGACUUAUGCAAUAAAAUUCAUCAGCACCAGGAGAUGAAGGAGGAUGACAUGAGGAGACAUCAUCCCCGCGACCUUAUAAGCAGACACGCUCACCCGGACUCAACCGCACUGAGAGCUAGACCCCAAGGCGAGUUAUUCAUCUAA